AAAAAUUUAAAUUUUUUCCAUAAAACUUAAAAUUAUAAUAAUCCAAUGCCUUAAACUUUAAAUUUUAUUGCCAAAUCCAUAGAAAUAUUAUUUUAAAUGAGCUAAUUUUAUAAUUUUCAUAACAAUUAAUCAACUUUGUUACCAGAGUACAAAAUCCUUUCAGGGUGGUUGUUAUCAUAAUUAUGAGUUUAAGGCAUUUGGUUACCAUAUAUAUAUUUUAGUAGAUAAAAUUUAAAUUUUUUUAAAUUAAUUUUAGGCUUUAGCUAUAACUACACUAAAUUAUUAGAAUUAAUUUUA
rnacentral:misc_RNA from 1 species